CCCGCCCGCGCCCCCAAGUCCCCAAUGUCCCCCAAGCUGCCUCUAGCGCCGCCGCCGCCGCUCCCCAAGCUGCCCCACUGCUGGCCCGCCGUGCCGCGCCCCUCGGCCAUCUCCAUGUCGCCUCGCGGCCCCGCGCCGGCGGCCCUCCCCAGCGCGGCCCCCUCCCAGCGCCGCACCCACCUCCCAGCGCCGAUUGCAAACCCUAGUUGUGAGUUGUCAACUCCCUUCACCACCUCUCGGACGGCGCCGCCCCCAGCCAUUCCUCUCUCGGUUCCAAAUCUCACGAACGGUGACUCCUCUCUCUCAGACAACAUGAGCUUGCAGGGGCGAGCCCCUUCGGCGGCGUGCAGGUAGGGCGUGGCUCCUCCGGCUAGGCGUGCGGGUCAAGGCUCUGGUAGGGCGUGGACCCUCCGGCUGCAGCACGGGUCAGGGGCUCCGGCAGUGCGUGCGGCUUAGGGGCAAGCUCCUCCGGCGGCGCAUGAGCAUGGCGCAGCCCCUCCGGCAGUGCGUGCGGGUCAGGGGCUCCGGCAGCGCGUAGGCCUUCGAGUGGCUCAGGGACGAGCCCUUCGAGCGGCGCGUGGCAGGGUGCAGCCCCUCCGGCAGUGGUCCAUGACAUUGUUGCAGCUGCUUGUGUCCAUCUCUAUCUCAGAUGCUUGGAUCUGAACUUUUAUAAACCCCAAGAUGGAUUAUCUGUUAUAGCUACUGGAAGUAGGUGUGAUAUUGACCUAUAUGAGUUACUGUGAACUUUUGGUCAAAUUUGUGAAGAUGCAUGUAUAUUGAUGUUGAAUUCUAGCUAUGUAUGUACUGAAUGAACUUUCAAAGCUCAGUGUGAUAUUUGUAGUAAUUGUUGACAAAUCAAUUUUCAAGCUCCAUUUGUAAUAA